UGCUGGACUUCAUCUUGGACCAGGAUCGCAAACGGUGCCAGGAACAACCUCAGCCUCCAGACCAGCCAUCAAUCGAGGGGUCCCCAAAAGGCAGAAGGAAAGACUGAUUUGGUGAUCAAGCCACUACCUGAGGCAUCAGGACCAUACGUGGAGAGGUAAGUAAAACCUCAUAGAUCAUUUGAUAAGAUCAUGUGGGAGUCAAGAACGUGUGACAUGGUCUUGGGAUACCGGUGUAAAUGUGAAAAAGUGAGUACUACCUCAGAGGUAACAAACCUGAGACAGUAAAAAUCAUGCACUGAAGAACAGGUCUCAGACAUGUACACUUAUUUCAUGAAAGGAUUAGUGCGGCUUGGAAGGGCACAAAAACAUAGUUUAAACGAUAUGAAACUGACGAAAAAUCCAUGGAGAAACUGACUUUAAAACAAUGAAAGUAGUAUUAGUGAAAGGGAUGUAAGAAGAAUUAUGGUUAUUUUGGUUAUUUUGUCAAAUGUUACAGAAAUGAAAGAAUAUGGAUUCUGGGAGGAGUAAUAAUAGACUGACAGAGGAGAAAUAGUAGAUGGCAUACUGAUACCCCAUCUUGAGCGUUUGUAUGGCUAAAACAGUAGGUGAAAUUGUAAUGUAUUAGAACAAUUAGUGUAUGUGAAAAACGGCUGAGCUAAGACUCAGGUGGUGUAGGAGUCUCUGGUAAUCCCUGGGAAAAAUAAAAGGUGGAAGGCAUAAGUCGAAGGGAAAGCCUGAUGAACGGUACAGCUGCAUUGUUUGAUCCCAUGGAAAUUGUUAGUGAAAGGCUGUACCUGCUUGUGGAGGUAGUUACCACUCAAUAAUACAAUCACUCAUAAAAUCAGAAAAAAGGGAAACAAUUGAAGAAGUAUUGUCAAUCGAUACAGAUGAAGAGAGCUGGAGAAAUUUCAAGUCCAUAUGUGAUGUUAUUUUACUGCUAUCGGGUGAAGUGAUCUGUGGAGAGGGAACUGGAGGAUAAAAAAGACACAAAGUAAGGAAUCUGAAUCUGGAAUAUACUGCAUUUUACAGCAAAUUAUGUAAAGAGAUUAACUGAAAAGAUGUAAAAUUGACUAACAGCCAGCCAGUCUGGCACACUCUUUAUUUUUCCCCUCUCCCUCUCACAGCUUUUGGGUCUCUCAGCAAGAAUGGGAUCCUCGAUUCUGGGAGGGGAGCUGGAAUAAAUUGAGUAUAUGUAAGUGAUGUGAUUGCAUGGUGAUUGUAAUUAAGGAUAUUACUGUAAUUAGUGUAAGCAUGAAAACACUAAUCCUCUGUGGGCUCCUCUCAAUUUUGAACCCAUUGGAGGCAGACAGGCACCUGGUAUGACUUGCUGGUUCCAUCAUGGCCUUGACCCUACAUCAGGGUGGGAUAUAUAUUUAAGGGUUGGUGCCCAAAGGCCACUGAGAUUGUUAAUUUGAUGGUACACCCCAUUGUUGUAUUGUUUGUAUUGAUGAUAGUUAUUUUCAUUGUAGUUUUAAUCAUCUAGUACAGGUUACAUACUCUUAUUCUACGUUCUUGCAUGGCCGUCACUGAUUUGCAUCUGCAUCUGCAAUUGUAACAUGUACUGUCAAAUAUCAGAGGGCUGGCUCUCUUCCACAAAGUGCCUGGCUAUUUGUUACACUGUAUAAGAGAGAAAGUUUCAAUCCAAGUGCUGGACUUCACUUCGGAUUGAGAUCACGAAUGGUACCAGGGACAACCUCAGCCUGUAGACCAGCAUUGAUCGAGGGGUCUC